rnacentral:rRNA from 1 species
UACGGAGGGUGCAAGCGUUAAUCGGAAUUACUGGGCGUAAAGCGUGCGCAGGCGGUUUGUUAAGUCCGCUGUGAAAUCCCCGAGCUCAACUUGGGAAUUGCAGUGGAUACUGGCAAGCUGGAGUAUGGUAGAGGAAGGUGGAAUUCCCGGUGUAGCAGUGAAAUGCGUAGAGAUCCGGAAGAACACCGGUGGCGAAGGCGGCCUGCUGGGCAGUAGCUGACACUGAGGCGCGACAGCGUGGGGAGCAAACAGG